AGAACGGUGGUGUAGCGGAAGCACGCCCCCCGCCACGGGGGCAGCGCUGGUUCGAGUCCAGCUCGUUCUC
rnacentral:tRNA from 2 species